rnacentral:rRNA from 1 species
GACGAACGCUGGCGGCGUGCUUAACACAUGCAAGUCGAACGAUGAAGCUGGAGCUUGCUCUGGCGGAUUAGUGGCGAACGGGUGAGUAACACGUGAGAAAUCUGCCCUUGACUCUGGGAUAACUGCGGGAAACUGUAGCUAAUACCGGAUACUUUCACUGGUGGGCAUCCACUGGGUAAGAAAGAAUUUCGGUCAAGGAUGAUCUCGCGGCCUAUCAGCUUGUUGGUGAGGUAAUGGCUCACCAAGGCGACGACGGGUAGCCGGCCUGAGAGGGUGACCGGCCACACUGGGACUGAGACACGGCCCAGACUCCUACGGGAGGCAGCAGUGGGGAAUAUUGCACAAUGGGCGCAAGCCUGAUGCAGCAACGCCGCGUGAGGGAUGAAGGCCUUCGGGUUGUAAACCUCUUUUGGCAGGGAAGAAGCGAAAGUGACGGUACCUGCAGAAAAAGCACCGGCUAACUACGUGCCAGCCGCCGCCGUAA